AACCAUAGAAACCUGCGGAGUACCUGCGGAAGGAUCAUUACCGAGUUUACAACUCCCAAACCCCUGUGAACAUACCUAUACGUUGCCUCGGCGGAUCAGCCCGCGCCCUGUAAAAAGGGACGGCCCGCCCGAGGACCCUAAACUCUGUUUUUAGUGGAACUUCUGAGUAAAACAAACAAAUAAAUCAAAACUUUCAGCAAUGGAUCU
rnacentral:misc_RNA from 1 species